rnacentral:rRNA from 1 species
UACGAGUGCUUCGAGCGUUAUCCGGAAUCAUUGGGCGUAAAGGGUGUGUAGGUUGUUUUGUUAGUCCUGUGUUAAAUAUACCGGCUCAACCGGUAUGCCGCAUGGGAAACGGCAGAACUUGAGGACGGUAGGGGUCAUUGGAACUCAUGGUGUAGCGGUGAAAUGCGCAGAUAUCAGGAGGAACACCGGUGGCGAAGGCGGAUCUCUGGGCCGAUACUGACGCUGAGGAGCGAAAGCGUGGGGAGCGAACAGG